AAAACACGCAUACACACACCGCCUGGGCGGAGCAGGCGCCAUGCAUCACUUUCACUUUCGUUUUCAUUCCGGUGGGUUCAGGAAACUUUAACGUUCAAACUUGACGCUGUCCGCUGUUCUGAUCGGUCAGUGAUGGCGGAGGCAGAGAGAGGCAGAGAGGCUGGAUUCAGGAGGAUUCCAGGACUCUGUCUUCUCCUCAUCCUGCUCUGCUUCCUUUUAUCUGCAAAUGCAGACGAAUAUUCACAGGAAAUGGUGGAGCUUUAUCAUAGAGCAAGAGAAAGACAGCAGAUGUUUGAGGCUCUAGACCGGGAAAGAGUGGCAGCUUCUCACGGAUGUACGAUCACAAACAAAUACGGACGAUAUCGCUAUCGUCCGGAUGAGCUAACCCUGUGGAGGGAAGCACAGGACGACUUUGACUCCUUUGACUCGAUUCAGAGACACAGGUGGAGAUCCGGGGAGCGAGUGAUGGGGUUAGAUAAGGACGUUGCGGAUGAAAUGACGGGACUGAAAAGGAAGUGGAAGGAAAGAUAUCGUCAGUAGGGGUGGGCGGAUCGAUCCAAAUAUCGAUAGUAUCGAUACCAAAGUUAGUAUCGGUAUCGAUCGAUACCUGCACGUUGAGAUCGACUUUUUUUUUUCUGCUCUGGCAGAGUCAGCACAGCCUCUCUGUCGGACCUUCGCUCACUUCAGUGCUCAGACGCUCGUCAACGCGCUCUGCGCCGCUCCCUCCUCCCUUUGCUCUUCACUGCCAUGUCAGAACAGCGAGAGAGAGAGAGAGAGAGAGGAAAAGCAAUGGUGAACGGAUAAAGAUGCGCUGUGUGGACUUAUUUCACAGCUUCAGACCAAGACACUGCAUCAUGUGUGCAUGAAGGUGAUUCGCUGCUGCGGUAACACCACCAAUCUGCACAAACUUUUAAAAGCAGCGUAAACGGACCAGACCCCGACACAGACAGAGGUCUCUGCCUGAGGUUUCCAACAGAAGCCUCCAGAACAUCCAGGGAGUGUUUUAGAGAAG